rnacentral:lncRNA from 1 species
GUUGUUGUAUCAUAAAAUGCAGUACGAAUAUUAUUUUUAUCAUUGGUUUGAUUGAAACUUAUUGUUUAUAAAAACACUCAAUGGUGUUUUUUUUUUACUUUUUUAACUGUUGUUCUGUAAAGUAUUGUUAAAUGUGGAGAGCAGAACGUUGUUAUUGCAAUUGUCUAGUAUAGCAUUGCAAAAAAAACAUACUUAGUGUUUAGUGUUUCCC